CCGGUGGACGAGCGGCGGACGGGUGAGUAACACGUGGGCAACCUGCCGGACUGAUGGGAAUAACCCCGGGAAACCGGGGCUUAAUGCCCAAUACGCCCUGACCUCGCCUGAGGUCAGCGGUAAAGCAGGGAUCUUCGGAUCCUUGCACAGUCCGAUGGGCCCGCGGCGCAUUAGCUAGUUGGAGAGGUAAGGGCUCCCCAAGGCGACGAUGCGUAGCCGACCUGAGAGGGUGAUCGGCCACACUGGGACUGAGACACGGCCCAGACUCCUACGGGAGGCAGCAGUAGGGAAUCAUCCGCAAUGGGCGAAAGCCUGACGGUGCAACGCCGCGUGAGUGAUGAAGGUUUUCGGAUCGUAAAGCUCUGUUGACAGGGAAGAACCCACGCCAGUCGAACAGGCUGGCGUGCUGACGGUACCUGUCCAGAAAGCCCCGGCUAACUACGUGCCAGCAGCCGCGGUAAUACGUAGGGGGCAAGCGUUGUCCGGAAUUAUUGGGCGUAAAGGGCACGCAGGCGGUUUCGUCAGUCCGAUGUGACAGGCCACGGCUCAACCGUGGAAGGCCAUUGGAAACUGCGAAACUUGAGGACAGAAGAGGAGAGUGGAAUUCCACGUGUAGCGGUGAAAUGCGUAGAUAUGUGGAGGAACACCAGUGGCGAAGGCGACUCUCUGGUCUGUACCUGACGCUGAGGUGCGAAAGCAUGGGGAGCAAACAGGAUUAGAUACCCUGGUAGUCCAUGCCGUAAACGCUGAGUGCUAGGUGUUAGGGGUUUCGAUACCCGUAGUGCCGAAGCUAACGCAUUAAGCACUCCGCCUGGGGAGUACGACCGCAAGGUUGAAACUCAAAGGAAUUGACGGGGGCCCGCACAAGCGGUGGAGCAUGUGGUUUAAUUCGACGCAACGCGAAGAACCUUACCAGAUCUUGACAUCUUCCGCUACGCCUCGAGAGAGGCGGUUCCCCUUCGGGGGACGGAAUGACAGGUGGUGCAUGGUUGUCGUCAGCUCGUGUCGUGAGAUGUUGGGUUAAGUCCCGCAACGAGCGCAACCCCUAAUCUUAGUUGCCAGCAUUCAGUUGGGCACUCUAAGGUGACUGCCGGUGACAAACCGGAGGAAGGUGGGGAUGACGUCAAAUCAUCAUGCCCCUUAUGAUCUGGGCUACACACGUGCUACAAUGGAUGGUACAACGGGAUGCGAACCCGCGAGGGGGAGCCAAUCCAGAAA
rnacentral:rRNA from 1 species